CUAUGAAAAAAGAAGAAGUUUCGAAUGAGUGAACAGUAGUCCUAACUUUAAAUGAACAUAACUCAUGGUACACAAAGAGUUAUGGUGUGUACCAUAUAUCAAAUUAAAGCUCUUUCGAAUCUAGUUUCUAACAGUUCAAAUUGUUCAUCACUUGACAUUCCUACAAGGAGUUAUGACCAUUUUAUCAAAGAUUAGCAGUGUUGUCACAGGCCAUGCGACGCAUAGCCAUAGCACCAGAUUUUCAGGUCUAUAUAAUGAUCAAUUCGAGACAAAAUUGAAUUUUGAAAAAAGAGUUAGGUUGGGGAGCUUGAAGGAGGCGACUUUUAGCUCCAACUAUGUCCAGCCAACCAAAUGUUUUCAUGAUAUCUUCAAGAACUCAAAAAUCACCAAAGAUGUGAUUUUCAAGUUUAGACUUCAAAAAGGUUGGCAUCUUAUUUCAUUAGUAGAUUGUGACUCGACAAUGCUGAGCGCUUAUCGGGUAAGACGGGUAGUUGAUGCACCUCACCGUGCGGGUUAGACAGAUGCCUUACACAUGAAGACAGGUAAAAGAUGUGGGCUAAACAACCCAUUUUUCCGUAUAAUUUAUUUAGUAGCAACGACAUGAUGUUUAUCUAUUUAGAAUUAGUCCAGUAGUUUAAGCUUAUCUGUUCAACGUAUUUGAUAUGCGACUUAGAUGCUUGCCUCUAUAAUAAUUUAUACUUGUUAAAGUUGUUAUUAUGUCAUUGUUGACACCUAAUUUUUGCCCUCGAAUAUUUUUAUUUAAUUGCCCAUAGUUCUUGGAUCUCAAACAGAGUGAAUAUGUAUUUUAUAAACCAAAAUAAUUUUUAUAAAAUUAUUUCGACAAUAUUUUUCCAUUUUAUUUGGAAAAAUGAGU